UACGUAGGUGACCAGCGUUGUCCGGAUUUACUGGGCGUAAAGAGCGCGCAGGCGGUCGUUCAAGUCGAGUGUGAAAGCCCCCGGCUCAACUGGGGAGGGUCACUCGAUACUGAUCGACUUGAAGGCAGGAGAGGGAAGCGGAAUUCCCGGUGUAGUGGUGAAAUGCGUAGAUAUCGGGAGGAACACCAGUGGCGAAGGCGGCUUCCUGGCCUGUUCGUUGACGCUG
rnacentral:rRNA from 1 species